CAAGGUAGGGAUACCCGCUGAACUUAAGCAUAUCAUAAAGCGGAGGGAA
rnacentral:rRNA from 1 species